UUUAAAUGCAACCAUAAAUUUUUCACCCAAUAUUAGUUUUUUUGAAUUUUUUUUAUAAUUAGUAUUUUUUGCUGUUAUGAAAUAAUAAAACAUGAAUAGUACUUUACUGAUUUAUGUUUUUAAAUUUUUUAAAAAAAAUAAAUAAGAUGGACGAUAAAAGUUAGGUGCGAAAAAUUAUGGCUACACGACGG
rnacentral:pre_miRNA from 1 species